AAAAUAUUUUUUCAAUGCGGUUGCAAUUAUUUAGGCUAUAAAAGUAGCUGACUAGUAUAAUUCUUUCACUGUACAUUGCUAUUCUUGUUGUUGUGGUAAAAAGUUAAUAGUUUUGUAGCACUGCAACAGUUAUUUUACAUUUUAUUAUUAAAACACAGUAUGAAAUAAUGUCCAGAUGUCAGAGAAAACUCAACACCCCCCUCCCCCCAAUUCUCACUCCAAGUUGAACUAAAAACAAAGGUUGGCAGCCCUGCAUUAAUUUAGGUCUACUAUAGUAGGCUACAACAAAACGCUCCGGUUACUAUCGUAACCUCGGUUCCCUGAGAGCGGGAACUAGACAUCACGGAGAUAUUUCUCUGUUAUGGGAACUCCUUCCCCUCCAACCUUUCCUGAAGUCCUAUUGGCUCCCACUAGUCCAAAUGACUGGCCAAUUGACGCGAAGUAUGCAAAUCGAAUGUAAAUACUGACGAGCUCCAGAGGCAGUAUAAAAUGCGGUGCACACUACAAUUAUGUCAGAAGGGGUUUCGGUUGGCGGUUGACAACACUGGACUGUGACUGGAGCAUUGAUGGAAGGAAGUGACGGUAGUACCGGAAGUGAUCCGGAGAUGGAGGAAGAAUGUAGCGGUAGGAGUUCAGGAGCAAAUGAUUGGAGUAAAAUUGUUAAUCGUAAAAGAAAGAAAAGUUGUAGACAAGAAUCGGGAACUGGCAGUGAAAAAGACAGUAUGCUGGUACAGGCAAGCAAGGAGGAUUUCAAGGUACUGAUUAAGUUUGCAGAUGAUUUUGUGAUCAAUCCAGUAAAAUUGACCAAAGCAAUAAAGAACUUAAGGGGAGUAAGUUCGUAUAUUGAUCUAACAAUGGUGUCAGAAUGUCUAGCAGGGGUAUGUACAUGGGAUGUUUGGGAGGACUCUACGAUAGGAAGUGAUCACUAUGUUAUUUGUUGUAAAAUAGGCGUAGAUGUUAGUGAAGAUUUAGAGGAAAAGAUAGGUAGAUGGAAAUUUAAAUCCGCAAAUUGGGAAGCAUUUAAAUAUAUUACUGAUGUUAAGUUUCAAGAGUUGAGCAUAAAUGAGGAAAUGGAGGAUGUAGAAAAAUAUAAUGAGAAAUUAUGUGAAGUAUUGUAUAGUACAGCUGAAGAGGUUAUUGGGAAGAGUAAAGGGGGAAAAAGAAAGAAGACAGUACCGUGGUGGACAGAAUUAUGUAACAAAGCAAUACAAGCCAGAAAUAAGGCUUUUAAAAAGGUUAGGAAGACGUUUAUAUUUGAUGACUUUAUUUUAUAUAAAAAAGCACAAGCGAAUGUGAGGAGGGUAAUUAGAGAUGCUAAAAAGAAUUACUGGAGAAAUUAUUGUAAUUCUAUAGGGGAGGAGGUUAAUGUCAGUGACGUAUGGGGUAUGUUAAGAAAGAUGGGUGGUUUUAAGAUAAAUUUUGGAAUGCCUGUUUUAAAUAAUGGGGAAAGAAUAGCGGUGACUAAUGCUGAUAAGGCAGAAAUGUUAGCAGAGGUGUUUGUUAAAGUACAUAGCAAUAAUAAUAUAUCAGAAGAAAUGGAAAUAAAUAGAGAACAAGGUAUAAAGGAACAUCCAAAUAUUAGGAUGGAGAAAGGGCCUUCUAAUGAACAUCUUGAUGUGGAAUUCUCACUAAAUGAAUUAAAGAGAGCUGUUGGAAGAGUUAAAAAAACUUCACCAGGAAAGGAUGAGAUAUGUUAUAUGAUGAUCAAAAAUUUAUCUGAUUUUUCUCUGAACUUUUUAUUGCGUCUUUUUAAUAAAGUGUGGAGAUCAGGGAGACUUCCUUCAUGGAAACACGGGGUUAUUAUUCCCAUAUUAAAGCCAGCCAAGAUCAAGCAUAAUGCUGACAGUUAUAGA
ensembl:lncRNA